GUCCCUAGAGUCAUUGAUCCAACUUGAAAAUACUAUCGUCGUGAUGAAGACUCGUCGGACAAUAAUAUCUCAAGAGAAUCUACUCUAGGCGGGGUCUUCGUAUCGUCCCAACAAGGAAGACUCCUUGUGGGUCUCCACUACACAACGAUCAACUUAAUCUUAUGGUUUUUCUCAGACUCUGAUAGAGAUCCUAUCUCACAAAGUGUCAAUAAUC
rnacentral:lncRNA from 1 species